AGUUAAAUAGUUUAAAUAUAAAACAUUAAUCUUGUAAAUUAAAAUUAUAAAUAUUAUUUUAACUU
rnacentral:tRNA from 1 species